UACGUAGGCAGCAAACGUUGUUCGGAGUUACUGGGCGUAAAGGGCGCGUAGGCGGGUUCGCAAGUCUGUGGUGAAAGCCUCCAGCUUAACUGGAGAAGUGCCAUGGAUACUGCGCAUCUUGAGGAGGGUAGGGGCGUCUGGAACGGUCGGUGGAGCGGUGAAAUGCGUUGAUAUCGACCGGAACUCCGGUGGCGAAGGCGGCUCUCUGGAACGCAACUGACGCUGAGACGCGAAAGCGUGGGGAGCAAACAGG
rnacentral:rRNA from 1 species